CGACGUAGGUAACCUGCCUGGUAGCGGGGGGUAACUAUUGGAAACGAUAGCUAAUACCGCAUAAGAGUAGAUGUUGCAUGACAUUUACUUAAAAGGUGCAAUUGCACCACUACCAGAUGGACCUGCGUUGUAUUAGCUAGUUGGUGAGGUAACGGCUCACCAAGGCAACGAUACAUAGCCGACCUGAGAGGGUGAUCGGCCACACUGGGACUGAGACACGGCCCAG
rnacentral:rRNA from 1 species